rnacentral:rRNA from 1 species
GAUGAACGCUGGCGGCGUGCCUAAUACAUGCAAGUCGAGCGAACGGACGAGAAGCUUGCUUUUCUGAUGUUAGCGGCGGACGGGUGAGUAACACGUGGAUAACCUACCUAUAAGACUGGGAUAACUUCGGGAAACCGGAGCUAACACCGGAUAAUAUUUUGAACCGCAUGGUUCAAAAGUGAAAGACGGUCUUGCUGUCACUUAUAGAUGGAUCCGCGCUGCAUUAGCUAGUUGGUAAGGUAACGGCUUACCAGGGCAACGAUGCAUAGCCGACCUGAGAGGGUGAUCGGCCACACUGGAACUGAGACACGGUCCAGACUCCUACGGGAGGCAGCAGCAGGGAAUCUUCCGCAAUGGGCGAAAGCCUGACGGAGCAACGCCGCGUGAGUGAUGAAGGUCUUCGGAUCGUAAAACUCUGUUAUUAGGGAAGAACAUAUGUGUAAGUAAUUGUGCACAUCUUGACGGUACCUAAUCAGAAAGCCACGGCUAACUACGUG